rnacentral:ncRNA from 1 species
GCGAGAGUUGGGAGCGGCCGGACUGGCCAGUGGGUGACUGCAGGCUGGACCUGUGUCGCUUCUUUCUUGUGGAGGCGCGUAGCUGUGUGCCCUUGAGUUGCGUCGUGCGCGAGUGUGGCGUGUAUCGCUUGGGCACCGUGGGGUGGCGAUGAACAGUUAACUCAGAACUGGUACGGACGAGGGGAAUCCGACUGUUUAAUUAAAACAAAGCAUUGCGAUGGCGACAAUUUCGUGUUAACGCAAUGUGAUUUCUGCCCAGUGCUCUGAAUGUCAAAGUGAAGAAAUUCAAUGAAGCGCGGGUAAACGGCGGGCGGCGCUUAGAGUUGGGCGCGGCCCUCCAAUGUUUAUCAUUUGUACAGCAGAAAUUUGGCAUAGUUAUAUGGAAAGAGGAACUUCGGGCUAGUGCAGAAAUUGCAUUAGUCAUCUGUCACAAGCGAAUGAUCGGAGUUGAACUGAGCUCAGCGUGCAUUUCGUGGAGCGGCCCGCGUUAGGGAUCGACCAACCCGAAUUGUGUAACUUUGCUCAGCGAAGCUCCAGUACGCUAGAUGGUGGCACACAUCUUAUGGAGAGGUGUGACGAGUUUACCUUGACGUGGUGAUUCCGCUACUCAUUUAUGAGUUCUAACAAGCUCGCAUCGGACUGAUGGCUCUGGCGGUGAUCAAGCGGGUCAUUGCUUUUGGAAAGCAUAGUGUAUGCGGAAUGUCCGUAUGCGCUCCGCUCAUCGUUUAGUACAAUAACAACUAUUGGUACGGAUAGGUUAAUCUAAGUUUCUAGUCGUGAGCGUCACUAGUUAGGCAGAUCUAUUUAGAGCUAUCAGUCGAUAUGAAGAUUGCUACCAAUUUCACUUUUAUAAGUGACAAUUGAAUGACCAACCCAAAUCCUGUAAUCGUUUUGUGCUCAGGAUCGUGUAGCGCUCGCUUCGCUCGCUUUACGCUCGCUUCGCUCGCUACCGGCGGUCGCAACUGACGACACUCUUAGUGUAGCCAAAUGCCUCGUCAUCUAAUUAGUGACGGAGUUUUCGCAAAAUUUUUA